rnacentral:lncRNA from 1 species
AAGCCGGGUCCAGCCGAUCCCUAGCGGGAAACAAACCGAUCGGGUCCAAAAGGACCUCAAGCGGGUGUAGCUGGCAAAACUAGGUGAGAGCCUGUAGGGCAGCCGACUCCCAGGUGUCUUCCAGGGCGUGACCGUGGGUCGAGACCUCGAGCUGGGGCUACUCGGGCUGUACAGAGGGUGGAGGUACAACCACUUGCACGUUGCACCGUGGCACCCCAUGCUCCUGGUACUCCCAUCCCGC